AGGUCAGGCUGAGACUGUGUGCGUAGCAUGCCUGUUUACUAACCACAUUAUGCAAUACUAUGUUCCCAGCUCGAUGUACCUAUGCUAGCUUCUCUGAACGGGGUUGUGUACUUGUACACGGUUGUGUACUUGUAGCUGUGCUUGCGCUGCCUCUCAGAGCUGCUCCAGUGUUUUUACACUUUGAUGAUUUUAACUGACUGUUAAAUCUCCCGCUAUCGUUUGCGUGGUUUUUCUCUCACUCACUAACGUUGUAUUUUAUCAUAUGAAUGUACAAUUAUGUGUAAUACUACUGGCACAAGUUCUGUAAAUACAACAACUCCUGAGUUAAUGAAUAGAAAACGGCUGCGUAAACUUCUUAAACUCGCGUGACGCACAUACAAAUGCAGCUAAAUACGUGAGGAAAAUUUCUAAUUAAAAGGAAGUACUUCAAUGUUAAAUCUGAAUAAAAAAAAGACAACUUUACACAAUAACCAAAUACUUUCACGCCUUCCUGUAAGUUACUGUAUUAAUGUGAGUACGAGACAGGAGUUCAACACUACGAGCAGACGCAGUAAAUAUGAAUGAGUGUAAAAUGACAGCGAUCAUAAACAUGCUGAGAAACUUCUGCAAAACUUCUCCUGGUUCACUGGACGUGUCAUGUGAUAGUAUUUCCUUAUUCAAACUUUCUUUCCUUCCUUAUUGGUGUGUAACAUGAUUAUUAAUUCAUUUUAUUUGAUUUUUGCCAUCAGCCCCUUUGACGCCGAUCGCCUGGUCUUUUGUAUUUUUUGUAUUUCUAUUCCAUCCUCUGGAUCCUUUUUGUAUCUCAAGAUAACCUGCUGUUUGUAACGCUCGCGAUCAAUCCGCUGCCUGCUGGCUUUUUCUACACGGUGAGGUGGGCGGAGCAUGAAAAGGCCUCACUACGCCCUCUCAUCUCCUCACACACCGGACUCCUUCCGUGCCUGUGCAUGCCUUAACAUGUGAAGCAUCCACGGGGAAUAAUCCCAGAGGGAGUAAUCCCAUAAUCCUAGAUGGAAUAAUCCCAGCGGGAGUAAUCCCAAUCCUAGAUGGAAUAAUCCCAGAGGGAGUAAUUCCAUAGAGGAUGAUCCCAGAGGGAGUAAUCCCAUAAUCCUAGAUGGAAUAAUCCCAGAGGGAGUAAUUCCAUAGAGGAUAAUCCCAGCGGGAGUAAUCCCAUAAUCCUAGAUGGAAUAAUCCCAGCGGGAGUAAUCCCAAUCCUAGAUGUAAUAAUCCAAGCGGGAGUAAUUCCAUAAUCCUAGAUGGAAUAAUCCCAGAGGGAGUAAUUCCAUAAUCCUAGAUGGAAUAAUCCCAGAGGGAGUAAUUCCAUAAUCCUAGAUGGAAUAAUCCCGACGGGAGUAAUUCCAUAGAGGAUAAUCCCAGAGGGAGUAAUCCCAUAAUUUUAGACGGAAUAAUCCCAUAAAGGAUAAUCCUUAGUCCCAGUCCAAUCCCACCUCCUCAAUGACACUUCUACCACUGGAUUAAAUGGGUGUGUCGGUGCAAUAUAUGUGUAUUUAUCUAUAUAUAAAAAAAGCCUCUUAUACAAAGGCUGAACAUUGUUUUCAUUCUCAGGAUUACAGGAAGCAUGAAAUAAAACAACAUGUCCUCA
ensembl:lncRNA